GCAUGACUCUUCAACCUCAGGACUUGCAGAAUUAGUGGAAUGCCGUCCUAAGGUUGUUGAGUUGUGC
ensembl:miRNA MIR676 microRNA 676